UCUCCGUAGGUGAACCCGCGGAGGGAUCAUUACAGAGUUCAUGCCCUAACGGGUAGAUCUCCCACCCUAUGUUAUCAUCACUUUGUUGCUUUGGCGGGCCGUCAGGCCUCGGCUUGGCUACCGGCUCUCGCUGGUAAGUGCCCGCCAGAGAACCCCAAACCCUGAAUAUCAGUGUCGUCUGAGUACUAUAUAAUAGUUAAAACUUUCAACAACGGAUCUCUUGGUUCUG
rnacentral:misc_RNA from 1 species